CGUGCCUAACACAUGCAAGUCGAGCGAACCCUUUCGGGGGAGAGCGGCGGACGGGUGAGUAACGCGUGGGUAACCUACCCUGUACACACGGAUAACAUACCGAAAGGUAUACUAAUACGUGAUGACAUAUCGGACAGGCAUCUGUCAGAUAUCAAAGGUCAGCCGGUACAGGAUGGACCCGCGUCUGAUUAGCUAGUUGGUGAGAUAAAAGCUCACCAAGGCGACGAUCAGUAGCCGACCUGAGAGGGUGAUCGGCCACAUUGGAACUGAGACACGGUCCAAACUCCUACGGGAGGCAGCAGUGGGGAAUAUUGCACAAUGGGCGAAAGCCUGAUGCAGCAACGCCGCGUGAGUGAUGAAGGUUUUCGGAUCGUAAAACUCUGUCCUCAAGGAAGAUAAUGACGGUACUUGAGGAGGAAGCCCCGGCUAACUACGUGCCAGCAGCCGCGGUAAUACGUAGGGGGCUAGCGUUAUCCGGAUUUACUGGGCGUAAAGGGUGCGUAGGCGGUCUUUCAAGUCAGAAGUUAAAUUCUACGGCUCAACCGUAGCCAGCUUUUGAAACUGGAAGACUUGAGUGCAGGAGAGGAGAGUAGAAUUCCUAGUGUAGCGGUGAAAUGCGUAGAUAUUAGGAGGAAUACCAGUAGCGAAGGCGGCUCUCUGGACUGUAACUGACGCUGAGGCACGAAAGCGUGGGGAGCGAACAGGAUUAGAUACCCUGGUAGUCCACGCCGUAAACGAUGAGUACUAGGUGUCGGGGGUUACCCCCCUCGGUGCCGCAGCUAACGCAUUAA
rnacentral:rRNA from 1 species